GGGUGCACUUCGUACCAAUGUGCAGUGUCCCAUAUGCCUAGGCAUUAUUAAGAAAACUCGAACUGUUAUGGGAUGCCUGCACCGGUUUUGCCAAGAAUGCAUUGACAAAUCAAUGCGAAUAGGGAACAAUGAAUGUCCUGCUUGCCGCAUACAUUGUUCCAGCAGACGUUCUUUG